rnacentral:rRNA from 1 species
UACGUAGGGCGCAAGCGUUGUCCGGAAUUAUUGGGCGUAAAGAGCUCGUAGGCGGCCUGUCACGUCGGGUGUGAAAGCCCGGGGCUUAACCCCGGGUCUGCAUUCGAUACGGGCUAGCUAGAGUGUGGUAGGGGAGAUCGGAAUUCCUGGUGUAGCGGUGAAAUGCGCAGAUAUCAGGAGGAACACCGGUGGCGAAGGCGGAUCUUUGGGCCAUUACUGACGCUGAGGAGCGAAAGCGUGGGGAGCGAACAGG